rnacentral:rRNA from 1 species
GAUGAACGCUGGCGGCGUGCUUAACACAUGCAAGUCGAACGGUAAGGCCCCUUCGGGGGUACACGAGUGGCGAACGGGUGAGUAACACGUGGGUAAUCUGCCCUGCACUUCGGGAUAAGCCUGGGAAACUGGGUCUAAUACCGGAUAUGAGCUCUCACCGCAUGGUGGGGGGUGGAAAGUUUUUCGGUGCAGGAUGAGCCCGCGGCCUAUCAGCUUGUUGGUGGGGUAAUGGCCUACCAAGGCGACGACGGGUAGCCGGCCUGAGAGGGUGAUCGGCCACACUGGGACUGAGACACGGCCCAGGCUCCUACGGGAGGCAGCAGUGGGGAAUAUUGCACAAUGGGCGGAAGCCUGAUGCAGCGACGCCGCGUGGGGGAUGACGGUCUUCGGAUUGUAAACCCCUUUCAGUAGGGACGAAGCGCAAGUGACGGUACCUGCAGAAGAAGCACCGGCCAACUACGUGCCAGCCGCCGCCGUAA